rnacentral:misc_RNA from 1 species
UGUGCUCGUCUCUGGAACAGAUGACACCUGAGAACCUGUGUGCGGUUGUGUGUUUCCCAACCGAAUAAAGCUUUGUGCAAGCUCAGAAAGCACAGGGCUACUAACAGCUUUUGAAGCAAUGUCAAGGAGGAACUGUGAACAAAAUUCAGGUAAGGGCUCAGGCAUAGAUUUCAAAACGUCAGAGAUACCACUACAAACAUCUUGAAAUGAACGUUCUGAUGUCAUAAGGGUAGAACUUCCAUCUGAUCUAUCAUGAGAUUUUUCAUUUUCCUUAUUUCUCAGAUGCACAUCAAUUCUCAAGAACUUCAACUGUUGCCUCAUCAUUUCAUGCAGAUCAUCAUCAUCGACCAGGGACACAACAUCACCAUCUUCAUCGAUGUAAGUCAAUGUAAAGUCAGCAUCAGAAGAGAAGUUGAAGAGAUUACGUAUUUUUGCUCUCAACCCAUUCAUGUCCAGAUCCAGUCUACUGUUGUCAUAGACUCCAACACUAAAGCGCCUUAGCAUUUCUCCAUACCUGGCCUUAAUCACAAUAGUAGACUCCAUGGCUUCAG